UCCUACGGGGGAGCAGCAGUGGGGAAUAUUGCACAAUGGGCGCAAGCCUGAUGCAGCAACGCCGCGUGAGGGAUGAAGGCCUUCGGGUUGUAAACCUCUUUUAGCAGGGAAGAAGCGAAAGUGACGGUACCUGCAGAAAAAGCACCGGCUAACUACGUGCCAGCAGCCGCGGUAAUACGUAGGGUGCAAGCGUUGUCCGGAAUUAUUGGGCGUAAAGAGCUCGUAGGCGGUUUGUCGCGUCUGCUGUGAAAUCCAGAAGCUCAACUUCUGGCCUGCAGUGGGUACGGGCAAACUAGAGUGCGGUAGGGGAGAACGGAAUUCCUGGUGUAGCGGUGGAAUGCGCAGAUAUCAGGAGGAACACCGAUGGCGAAGGCAGUUCUCUGGGCCGUUACUGACGCUGAGGAGCGAAAGCGUGGGGAGCAAACAGGAUUAGAUACCCUGGUAGUCCACGCCGUAAACGGUGGGUGCUAGCUGUGGGCCACAUUCCACGUGGUCCGUGACGAAGUAACACAUAAGCUCCCCCUGUGCUCGACGUCC
rnacentral:rRNA from 1 species